GAUGAAGAACGCAGCGAAAUGCGAUAAGUAAUGUGAAUUGCAGAAUUCAGUGAAUCAUCGAAUCUUUGAACGCACCUUGCGCCCUUUGGACAUUCCGAAGGGCAUGCCUGUUUGAGUAUCAUGAACACCUCAACUCUCACGGCUUGUCCGUGAUGAGCUUGGACUUUGGGGGUCUUGCCGGCCUGUGGUCGGCUCCUCUCAAAUGGAUCAGCUUGCCAGUGUUUGGUGGCAUCACAGGUGUGAUAACUAUCUGCGCUUGUGGUUUUCCAUCAGAUAACCUUCAGUGAUAUGGAGGUUCGCUGGAGCUCACAAAUGUCUCUCCUUAGUGAGGACAGCUCUUUGAACGUUUGAUCUCAAAUCAGGUAGGACUACCCGCUGAACUUAAGCAUAUCAUAAGCGGAGGA
rnacentral:misc_RNA from 1 species